CGAGUCGAAGCUGUGAUGCGGUGGCUGGGAUCUGUCACUCAGCGUCGCGGCCGCUGACGACUUGGGCAGCCUCAGCUGUAAGCAGCCCGUGAUUUAUGGACACCCAGUGAACUCCUGCGGCAGGAACCAGCCUGGAGAUCACAGCGGCAAUAGGGCCCUUUUUUUGGCAGGAGACAGGGCCUGCAUUUUUCUCAUUCAUGCCAAACUGCUUUGCACGGCAAUUAGCUCUGUCCUCAUUUAGUCUCCAGUCCCAAAGGGUAAUGAAAGUCAUAUAUCAUCUUCAAGACUGCUAAUUAUUGAGCUCGCUUACAGAGCCAUUUUUCAUGCCAUAACGAACCUGUCUCGGAGAGCCGGAGUGGUGAGGAGAAGCCGGUUCAGGGAGCUGGCUGCGGGUAGGGAAGGGGCUGGGUGGAGGGCCAGGGAGGAAAAAGCAGAAAAGGAAGGGUCCCCCCACCCCGCCCACGUCCAGAGCAGCCCUCCCUCCACCCUCGGCCUCUGGGUGGGGAUGGUGGGGGUGCCUCCCCUGGAUUUGGGGCUUGGGUCAGCUGUGUCCGCUGCUCCAAAGCGUGGGGUGUGCGAGGCUGCUCCUGAGCCGGACUUUGUCUGGGCCUGUUGCCUGCCAUUUGGUCAUCUUGCCACCAAGUGGACCUAGCGUCUGGGUUCCAGACUGUACCAGAAGAUUCCCACAGGUCUGGCUAACUAAGGAAAAGGUUGAUUCUUGCUUCCGUUCAAAUGGACUUAAAAAUAUACUCACCGCUAGGGGCAGGGGUGCAUGCCCGUCAUCCCACCUCUCAGGAGGCUGAGGCAGGAGCAUCGCUGCAAGUUCGAGGCCAGCCAGGGCUACAAAGUGAGACCCUACCUCAAAAAAAUGACUGUUCACUAGGAUAACUGAUGGUUAUUUGAAAGUAGAGAAUGCAAUGAAAACAAAAGCUAAAGCAAUAAAAAUACGUAGGCAGCACUGGAGGGCGUUAUUCAGUGCGUAACCAGUACUCAUCGCUAUGCCUGAGAAGCGCCAUCCUAGGUGUGAGGGGACAGCAGUGACCAGGAGGAGAAGGUCCUUGCCCUGGUGCUUCUGGUCAGUGAUCCAUCGCUGCUCCUGGAGCCUGCUUUGUUUCUCAACUCAACUUAAAUAGCACUAGCUGCCGCCAGCCCUGCCUCACGCCGGAGGAUGUGCGGUUCGUGUGUCUGGCGUGCCAGGCACUGCAGUGAGAACCCCGUGAGCACAUACGGAGCCUUCCUUCAGCAGGCUGUGAUGCUGCUCCUGCCCCCGUCUUCUGGGGGCUGCUCCACCCCACUGUCCCCCGAGCUUGAGCCCCGGUCUGUGUGCGAAACUCCUGGUGUGGUGCGAUUCUGCAGCGGUGGGCCGUGUGGCCUCUGCUUCCUCCUGGACUUCACCACCUCUGAGAGACAGAGGGGCGGACGGCCAUUCUCCUCCCCUGGGACCUCCCCCGGGUCUCCCGGCGUCUCUGGGCCUCGGAGUCCUCCUCUGUGAGCGGAGGGUAGCGGGGCGCCUGCUCACGGGUGCUGUGAAGACGAAAUGCCCUUCAGACCCUGGGCACUGACUGGCGCCCAGGAAGCUGCCGCUUCCUCCCUGCGUUGCCUCUUUCUGUAGGGGGGGGGAAGUGUCCCACGUCUCCUUCCUACCUGCCAGGGUGUGGCUGCUUGCCCUGCCCCUCCUCCCGUCUCCUGCCCACCCUUCCUGCCCCUCUCCAGCCCACCCUCUCCUGGUCCUGGGCCUCUUUCUGUCCCCUGUCCCGGUCCCUGCUCCUGUUCCCGCUCCUCCCGUCCCCACCUGCCAUGUCUAGGCUCUGUGAUGCUUUCUGCACCUUUGACUUCGGGUUCUUGGGAGCAGGUUGUGCAAACUGAACCCCACGGGGGGGGGGUGAGGGCAGCGGGGUGCCCCAGUGAGCAGUCAGUGGAUCGUGUGGCUGUCUCUCGGGCCACCCCUGGGUCUAGUUACAAACUCCCAGAGGAGAACUCCGGUUAUCCAGGCUGGGCAACCCUGGCCUAGCCCUGCCUGAGCCUGGCCCCUUGGCUGUGCUGAGAAGGUGACAUAGGGCGCCGGGUCUGGAGGGGCUACUGCCCACAGCUGUGUGUGGCUGACUGCUGUCCAGGGAGGAGGCCAUGCUGAGCGGGCGGAGGACGGCCGCAACAUGCGGGCCUUGGUGACACCUGUGAGCCAUGCUGUAAGGGGCACUAGCUUCCCAUGUGGGUGACCCCACCCCACAGUCAUGUUUGAACCAGGAGGACAAUCCAUCCAUUUGCAUGUUAUUUUGGUAAACCGGAAAAGUCUGUUGCAGAGACCUGGCCAUGGUUCUCACUGGGUGGCUCCGGCUGAGAUGGGGCUACUCUUCCUGUUACGGUUUAGACCUGGGCACCCCCUGAAAGCCUCGUGUCCUAGGAAGGUGAGUGGAUCAUGGGGCCUGCUCUACUCGUCAGUGGGUUGGUGCCUGGCUCUCCGGCUCCUCCCUUCUCUCUCUGCUUCCUGACCUCCGUGACGGGAGCAGGUUUCUUCGUCUCAACCCUUCCACCAUGCCGCUGCUGCCUUGGAGCCAGCCAGCUCUGCCCUGGAACCUCUAAAGCCGGUGAGU